GGCUUAGAGUUUGAUCAUGGCUCAGGACGAACGCUGGCGGCGUGCCUAACACAUGCAAGUCGAACGAGAAUCUUUUGGUUGAUUUCUUCGGAAUGAAAUCAAGAGAGGACAGUGGCGGACGGGCGAGUAACGCGUGAGCAACCUGCCCAUAAGAGAGGGAUAGCACUUGGAAACGGGUAGUAAUACCUCAUAUUGAUAUUGGACCGCAUGGUCUGAUAUUGAAAGAUUUAUCGCUUAUGGAUGGACUCGCGUCUGAUUAGCUAGUUGGGGAGGUAACGGCUCACCAAGGCGACGAUCAGUAGCCGAACUGAGAGGUUGAACGGCCGCAUUGGGACUGAGACACGGCCCAGACUCCUACGGGAGGCAGCAGUGGGGAAUAUUGCGCAAUGGGGGGAACCCUGACGCAGCAACGCCGCGUGCAGGAAGAAGGUCUUCGGAUUGUAGACUGUUGUCGCGAGGGAAGAAGGAAGAUGACGGUACCUCGUGAGAAAGUCACGGCUAACUACGUGCCAGCAGCCGCGGUAAUACGUAGGUGACAAGCGUUGUCCGGAUUUGCUGGGUGUAAAGGGCGCGCAGGCGGGCAGGCAAGUCAGUCGUGAAAUGCCGGGGCUCAACCCCGGAGCUGCGAUUGAAACUGCAGGUCUUGAGUAUCGGAGAGGAAAGCGGAACUCCCAGUGUAGCGGUGAAAUGCGUAGAUAUUGGGAGGAACACCAGUGGCGAAGGCGGCUUUCUGGACAUUAACUGACGCUGAUGCUCGAAAGCGUGGGGAGCAAACAGGAUUAGAUACCCUGGUAGUCCACGCUGUAAACGAUGGAUACUAGAUGCAGGGGUAUCGACUCCUUCUGUGUCGCAGCUAAC
rnacentral:rRNA from 1 species